rnacentral:rRNA from 1 species
GAUGAACGCUAGCUACAGGCUUAACACAUGCAAGUCGCGGGGCAGCAUGGGGGUUGUUUGCAAUCCCCGAUGGCGACCGGCGCACGGGUGAGUAACGCGUAUCCAACCUGCCCUUCACCACGGGAUAACCCGGCGAAAGUCGGACUAAUACCGUAUGUUGUCCAUUGACGGCAUCCGAUUUGGACGAAAGGCUUGGCGGUGAGGGAUGGGGAUGCGUCCGAUUAGCCAGACGGCGGGGUAACGGCCCACCGUGGCUACGAUCGGUAGGGGUUCUGAGAGGAAGGUCCCCCACACUGGAACUGAGACACGGUCCAGACUCCUACGGGAGGCAGCAGUGAGGAAUAUUGGUCAAUGGGCGUAAGCCUGAACCAGCCAAGUAGCGUGCAGGAGGACGGCCCUAUGGGUUGUAAACUGCUUUUAUGCGGGGAUAAAGUGGCCCACGUGUGGGCUUUUGCAGGUACCGCAUGAAUAAGGACCGGCUAAUUCCGUG